GGGCAGUGGGGCAGCUAUAAUGCAGUCGAACGAACUCUGGUAUUGAUUGGUGCUUGCAUCAUGAUUUACAUUUGAGUGAGUGGCGAACUGGUGAGUAACACGUGGGAAACCUGCCCAGAAGCGGGGGAUAACACCUGGAAACAGAUGCUAAUACCGCAUAACAACUUGGACCGCAUGGUCCGAGUUUGAAAGAUGGCUUCGGCUAUCACUUUUGGAUGGUCCCGCGGCGUAUUAGCUAGAUGGUGGGGUAACGGCUCACCAUGGCAAUGAUACGUAGCCGACCUGAGAGGGUAAUCGGCCACAUUGGGACUGAGACACGGCCCAAACUCCUACGGGAGGCAGCAGUAGGGAAUCUUCCACAAUGGACGAAAGUCUGAUGGAGCAACGCCGCGUGAGUGAAGAAGGGUUUCGGCUCGUAAAACUCUGUUGUUAAAGAAGAACAUAUCUGAGAGUAACUGUUCAGGUAUUGACGGUAUUUAACCAGAAAGCCACGGCUAACUACGUGCCAGCAGCCGCGGUAAUACGUAGGUGGCAAGCGUUGUCCGGAUUUAUUGGGCGUAAAGCGAGCGCAGGCGGUUUUUUAAGUCUGAUGUGAAAGCCUUCGGCUCAACCGAAGAAGUGCAUCGGAAAACUGGGAAACUUGAGUGCAGAAGAGGACAGUGGAACUCCAUGUGUAGCGGUGAAAUGCGUAGAUAUAUGGAAGAACACCAGUGGCGAAGGCGGCUGUCUGGUCUGUAACUGACGCUGAGCUCGAAAGUAUGGGUAGCAAACGGAUUAGAUACCCUGGUAGUCCUUACCGAAACAAGGAUGCUAAUUGUGGAAGGUUCCGCCCUUCAGUGCUGAACUAAUGUAUUAUCAUUCCUCUGG
rnacentral:rRNA from 2 species